rnacentral:rRNA from 1 species
UGGGGAAUAUUGGACAAUGGGCGCAAGCCUGAUCCAGCCAUGCCGCGUGAGUGAUGAAGGCCCUAGGGUUGUAAAGCUCUUUCACCGGUGAAGAUAAUGACGGUAACCGGGAAGAAGCCCCGGCUAACUUCGUGCCAGCAGCCGCGGUAAUACGAAGGGGGCUAGCGUUGUUCGGAUUUACUGGGCGUAAAGCGCACGUAGGCGGACUUUUAAGUCAGGGGUGAAAUCCCGGGGCUCAACCCCGGAACUGCCUUUGAUACUGGAAGUCUUGAGUAUGGUAGAGGUGAGUGGAAUUCCGAGUGUAGAGGUGAAAUUCGUAGAUAUUCGGAGGAACACCAGUGGCGAAGGCGGCUCACUGGACCAUUACUGACGCUGAGGUGCGAAAGCGUGGGGAGCAAACAGG